AAUGAACGCUGGCGGCGCGCCUAAUACAUGCAAGUCGAGCGAGAAGACGUAGCAAUACGUUUGUAAAGCGGCGAACGGGUGAGGAAUACAUGGGUAACCUACCCUCGAGUGGGGAAUAACUAGCCGAAAGGUUAGCUAAUACCGCGUACGCUUCUUGGACUUCGGUUCAGGGAGGAAAGCGAUACCGUGGGUAUCGCGCUCUUGGAUGGGCUCAUGUCCUAUCAGCUUGUUGGUGAGGUAACGGCUCACCAAGGCUUCGACGGGUAGCUGGUCUGAGAGGACGAUCAGCCACACUGGCACUGCGACACGGGCCAGACUCCUACGGGAGGCAGCAGUAAGGAAUAUUGCGCAAU
rnacentral:rRNA from 1 species